rnacentral:rRNA from 1 species
AUUGACCUCAGAUCAGACAAAAUUACCCGCCGAAUU